GCACCGAGAAAGCUCAGUCGGUAGAGCAUGAGAUUCUUGAUCUUAGGGUCAUGGGUUCAAGUGUCACGCCGGGCA